GCCAACUCUUCCUCUACCCACCUCCUAGAAGCUUCUCCGACGGUUCUAUAUCGUAAUCAGAUUACGGAGAGGCUUCGGACUCUCAGGUGCUACUCGAAUCCCAAUCCAGUAGAAGUUUUCUUCGACCUGCAGAGAGGAAUGACGCAGAAGAUGAGCCUCAUGCUAAAUGGGGAUUUUUCUUCGGCGGCUGUUAAGGAGACUCAAGUUGAAGGUGAAUAUCAAAAGUGACAAGAAGCUAGAUGGUCAGCAUCGUGGAAGUUGGUUCCAGAGGCAUGCCGAACAAAGAGGGAUCAAUAAGGGUUAUGAAGCUAUGGCAUUUCCUGAGUUUGCACGGAGCCAUUUUCCUAAGAAUACGAAUCCUAAAAUGGUUAAUAGGAACAGAAGAAUGCUGGGUAUUUUCAUUCCUUUUAAAAUCUAUAAUGGUUUUGAUCACGACUAUGGUGGCAUGUAUAUGGUUUUAAAUUAGAGUACCUUCCUUUUUUUCUAAUUUGGUUCCUAAAUCUAAGAAAAAUAUAUUGGUAUGAGCAAGAUCGAGAAGAUAUAUAAUGGGCGUACGUUCUUGUGCAGCUUAAAAUAGAAAUUGACAAUGUAACUGAUUAAACAUAUAAAUGUGGUCGAAAUCACUGAGCCAUAUAAGAAGCUUAUGGAAUUUUUUAAUCUUAUUCAACUUUCUAUGUGCUAAUAAUCUUACCGUGUAAACUUCCCCAUGUGGUGUUGGGCUGGCCAGGUUUUGGGGAUCAAAACAAAGCUCUAUAUCGUUCUUGAGCUUGUCAGUGGAGAUGAAGUAUUUGACAAAUUCGUAAGAAACCAUUCCAUAUCAUAGUAGUGGUGGUGACUCUGACGAGUUGAUUAGGGCUGAAGAUAAUGUCAAAGAGAGAAAACUUGGAGAGAAGGAGUCGAGAUCUUGUCGUUUCCUAUGUUCAAGGUUUCGCUGAAGAGAUAAUACUACCAAAGACGAUGCGGGUUCAAGCUCGAAAGCUAUGGCUGUUUAUAAUAGAAUGCCUUGGAUGUGUGCUCAAAGAGAUAAUAACAAUGUUCAAGAAAAGACUACACAAAACCUGCUUGAGUUGAUCAGACCAGUG